GAUGAACGCUGGCGGCGUGCCUAAUACAUGCAAGUCGAGCGAACGGACGAGAAGCUUGCUUCUCUGAUGUUAGCGGCGGACGGGUGAGUAACACGUGGAUAACCUACCUAUAAGACUGGGAUAACUUCGGGAAACCGGAGCUAAUACCGGAUAAUAUUUUGAACCGCAUGGUUCAAAAGUGAAAGACGGUCUUGCUGUCACUUAUAGAUGGAUCCGCGCUGCAUUAGCUAGUUGGUAAGGUAACGGCUUACCAAGGCAACGAUGCAUAGCUGACCUGAGAGGGUGAUCGGCCACACUGGAACUGAGACACGGUCCAGACUCCUACGGGAGGCAGCAGUAGGGAAUCUUCCGCAAUGGGCGAAAGCCUGAUGGAGCCACGCCGCGUGAGUGAUGAAGGUCUUCGGAUCGUAAAACUCUGUUAUUAGGGAAGAAAAUCUGUGUAAGUAACUGUGCACAUCUUGACGGUACCUAAUCAGAAAGCCACGGCUAACUACGUG
rnacentral:rRNA from 1 species